rnacentral:rRNA from 1 species
UACGUAGGGGGCGAGCGUUGUCCGGAGUACUGGGCGUAAAGCGCACGCAGGCGGUCUGCUAAGUUUGGAGUGACAGUUGGUGGCUUAACUGCCAAAGUGCUUCGAAAACUGACAGACUUGAGGGCUUCAGAGGGACACGGAAUUCCGGGUGGAGUGGUGAAAUGCGUAGAGAUCCGGAGGAACACCAAAGGCGAAGGCAGUGUCCUGGGGAGUACCUGAC